GAACGUGGAAGUCAAAGUCCGUCUCAACGGCGUGGCUCGAUUUCCGCUUCCUAUCUUUGGGUAAUGGCCCUCUUCCUUCACGGGUUGGGGUGUCCGUUCCCAAUCUUUUACUUUGAAAAAAUUCGCGCGCUCAAAGCAGGCGUAACUUGCUAUGAAGAUUACAGCAUGGGAUAAUAGAAUACGACUUCGGUCUUAUUUUGUUGGUUUCUAAGGCUGACGUA
rnacentral:rRNA from 1 species